ACUCCUACGGGAGGCAGCAGUAGGGAAUCUUCCACAAUGGACGAAAGUCUGAUGGAGCAACGCCGCGUGAGUGAAGAAGGGUUUCGGCUCGUAAAAACUCUGUUGUUAAAGAAGAACAUAUCUGAGAGUAACCUGUUCAGGUAUUGACGGUAUUUAACCAGAAAGCCACCGGCUAACUACGUGCCAGCAGCCGCGGUAAUACGUAGGUGGCAAGCGUUGUCCGGAUUUAUUGGGCGUAAAGCGAGCGCAGGCGGUUUUUAAGUCUGAUGUGAAAGCCUUCGGCUCAACCGAAGAAGUGCAUCGGAAACUGGGAAACUUGAGUGCAGAAGAGGACAGUGGAACUCCAUGUGUAGCGGUGAAAUGCGUAGAUAUAUGGAAGAACACCAGUGGCGAAGGCGGCUGUCUGGUCUGUAACUGACGCUGAGGCUCGAAAGUAUGGGUAGCAAACAGGAUUAGAUACCCUGGUAGGA
rnacentral:rRNA from 1 species